UAUUUGAUUGAGAUGCACAAAGAUUCAUACAAUAAUGUUCACAUUUUGAAGAUGGAAAUCAUAGGAAGAUCGCACUCGGGAUCAAUUAACAUAUAGCAAUCUGGUAGCUGCCAUGGAAGAAACCUAGCAAUUAGUGCCCCCAGAAUUUACACGAUUUUGGAAGCGCAGCAUCUAAUGCGGAACGUGAAGCGGCGUUGUUCCCUGUUUACUUUUUUUAUGCGUCACUUUCUUCCGCCGGGUUUCUUCCCGGUUCCACAGAGCUUGCCGGAAUUUCAAUUCUGAAAAAUUUUCCCAUUCCAAAACCGAUUUCAUUCAUUACCCAUUUCUCCUUUUUUGUUGAAUGACUUUCACUUGUGCUAUCUAACGAGAGGGUCACCGUCCUCCUUCGACUUGGGAGCAAUUUGGCUAUGGCGGAAGCUGAAUUUUCCGAUCAGAAUCGCCUUCUUAGAUCCAUGGAGGAUCACAAAGGGGAAGAUCAUGAUUUAGAAUCGCAAGAUGGAAAUGGAAUUCAGCCAUUGAGAAAUAACAGUGGAAAACGAGGUGGGAUUUUGGAUAUGUUUCAUCAUCUCAAUCGUGGAGGAAGCUUCUCUGGUCGUCGUCUUAGUUCUAAGCGUCAUGAUAUGGAUAAUCAUGCCGCUACUUUCAGCCCUACUUCUCUUAAUAUUGUUGGUAGAACUCGUACCGCCUCUUCUUCUUCUUCUUCUUCCGAUCGUCACAACAAUUUCAAUUCAUAUUCUCUUCAUGCCCCGACUGUAAGCGAUACCGAAAUUGACGACAAUGUUGAUGAUACUGCCGCUCCUGAAUGGGCUUUGCUCCUUAUUGCCUGUCUCCUUGGCCUCGCCACCGGCCUUUGUGUUGCAGCUUUUAACAUGGGGGUACAUGUAAUCCAUGAGUGGGCCUGGGCAGGCACUCCAAAUGAGGGUGCUGCUUGGCUUCGCUUACAGAGAAUGGCCGAUACUUGGCAUCGCAUUCUAUUGAUACCGGUAACUGGAGGUGUUAUAGUGGGCAUGAUGCAUGGUCUGCUUGAGAUACUAGACCAAAUAAAACAGUCGAGUACUUCCCAGAGGCAAGGAUUUGAUUUACUCUCUGGAGUUUUUCCUACAGUUAAAGCUAUUCAGGCAGCCAUUACUUUAGGUACUGGCUGUUCACUGGGUCCUGAAGGACCUAGUGUAGAUAUUGGGAAAUCAUGUGCCAAUGGAUUCUAUCUUAUGAUGGAAAACAACAGUGAAAAGAUAAAAAUAGCAUUUGUUGCGGCUGGUGCAGCUGCUGGAAUUGCUUCAGGCUUUAAUGCAGCCGUUGCGGGUAGCUUCUUUGCAAUAGAAACUGUAUUAAGGCCUUUACGUGCAGAAAAUUCUCCUCCAUUUACGACUGCAAUGAUCAUAUUGUCAUCUGUUAUUUCUUCUACAGUCUCGACUGUUUUACUUGGCACGCAGUCUGCUUUCACAGUACCUGCUUAUGAUUUAAAAUCUGCUGCUGAACUUCCGUUGUACUUGAUAUUGGGAAUGCUAUGUGGCGUUGUGAGUGUAGCAGUGACACGUUUAGUUGCUUGGUUCAGUAAAUUAUUUGAAUUCAUCAAGGAAAGAUUUGGCCUUCCUCCUGUUGUCUGUCCUGCUUUAGGCGGCUUGGGAGCUGGAAUAAUAGCUCUCAAGUACCCUGGAAUCCUUUAUUGGGGUUUCACAAACGUUGAAGAAAUCCUACAUACUGGGAAUCGUCCUUCUGCUCCUGGGGUUUGGUUAUUAACUCAGAUAGCAGCUGCAAAAGUUGUGGCCACUGCUCUGUGCAAGGGUUCUGGGCUCGUAGGCGGUCUUUAUGCACCCAGUCUUAUGAUUGGUGCCGCUGUUGGUGCUGUAUUUGGGGGCUCAGCUGUUGAAGUUAUUAAUGCUGCAAUUCCUGGAAAUGCAGCUGUUGCACAGCCGCAGGCCUAUGCAUUGGUUGGAAUGGCUGCUACGCUGGCCUCGGUCUGUUCGGUGCCUUUGACAUCGGUUCUACUUCUGUUUGAGCUGACAAAGGAUUAUAGGAUACUCCUUCCACUCAUGGGAGCUGUUGGCUUGGCCAUAUGGGUUCCUUCAGUUACAAAACAGACCAAGGAAAUUGAAUCAUCUGAAAAGCGGGUUUCAACUAGAGGUUAUAGUUCUCUUUCUCCUCCUGGACAUAAAGAUGGGGCAUCUUGGAGGUAUGAUAGUGGUGAUAAGGACUUAGAGCUCUCUGAGGUGGUAACUCCAUCUGACCGGGAAUCUAAUUAUGAAGAUAAUCUUCUUGAAAAACUAAAGGUUUCUAAAGCGAUGUCAAAGAACUAUUUGAAGGUUCCGUUGUCUUUGUACUUGAAAGAUGCACUGAAAUAUAUGAAGGAUAACCAGCAGAACUGUGCAUUAGUGGUUGACAAUGAUGAUUUACUUGAGGGAAUAUUGACAAAUGGUGACAUUAAAAGAUAUCUCUUCAAGAAGUAUGGCGACACUCUGAAGAGUGAUUCACUGAGUGUGGAUACCUGUCUAGUGUCCUCUAUUUACACUCGAGGGAUCAGUUAUCGUGGCCGAGAACGAGGAAUUUUGACAUGUUACCCAGACAAUGCUCUGGCAAUUGCUAAGGAACUAAUGGAGGCGAAGGGUGUAAAGCAGUUGCCCGUCAUUAAGCGUGGCAGAGGAAGGAAAAGAAGAAUUGUAGCCGUUCUCCACUAUGAUUCAAUUUUUAGCUGCCUCAGGCUCAAGCCACCUGAAAUUCCAUGCCGGUUUAUCCUGGGAAGAGAAAAGAAAAUGUAACCAAUAAAACAGUCUCCAACUUUUUUGGAUAUUACAAGAGAGUUCAUCAAUCAAAGGGAAAAAGUAUAUCCUAGUGGAAAAGAGAUCGUCGUCCAGGAGAGCGUUGCAGAUAGUCAUUAAGGAACUGUGCAACAGAUUCAGAGCUAAAGUUCUUCAGCAUUCAGAAUUAAAGAACAAGCUGAAUGUUGAACUAUGAUCUGUUUUUAUUCAGAAUUCUUCCCACUGAUGACAGAAUAUUUGAAACCCUCUGGUUGUUCUUCAGCGAAGAGAAGCAACAAUCCAAAAGCUGUAACAUAAUACACAAGAUUAUUUCAGAAGAGUUGGAGAGGUUACUGAGAAUUCAGGCUAAGGGAUCCAUAUGGUUUAUAUUAGGAUAUCUAUGGGCCAUGCCUGUUCAAAGGAUUCAGUCUCCUUACAUUUUAGGUUUCAAUGUUAGUUGAUUCAUUCACUAUUCUUUGCAUUGGAAUAUGUACUCUUGAUCUGUAAGUUGUACUGGUCAGGUCUAGUGGAAUCAUUUCAAUGAAUUCGCUCAUUCCCUCAUGAUUUGUUGGGAUUGUUUUCU